AUUGAACGCUGGCGGCAGGCCUAACACAUGCAAGUCGACCGAGUGGCGGACGGGUGAGUAAUGUCUGGGAAACUGCCAGAUGGAUGGGGCUAACUACUGGAAACGGUAGCUAAUACCGCAUACCAUCGGAUGUGCCCUGAUGGGAUUGGCUAGUAGGUGGGGUAAGGGCUCACCUAGACGACGAGCCCUAGCUGGUCUGAGAGGAUGACCAGCCACAAGGGAACUGGUACACGGUCCAGACUCGUACGGGGGGCAGCAGGGGGGAAUAUGGAACAAUGGGCACAGCCCUGAUGCAGCCAUGCGGGGUGUAUGAAGAAGGCCUUCGGGUGGAAAAGUACUUUCAGCGGGGAGGGGUUACCCGCAGAAGAAGCACCGGCUAAUUCCGUGCCAGCAGCGGCGGAAUUC
rnacentral:rRNA from 1 species